GACGAACGCUGGCGGCGUGCUUAACACAUGCAAGUCGAGCGAGGCCCCUCCUUCGGGAGGGUGUCCUAGCGGCGAACGGGUGAGUAACACGUGGGCAACCUGCCCUCAGCUCUGGGAUAACUCCGGGAAACCGGGGCUAAUACCGGAUACGACCUCCACGGGCAUCUGCGGAGGUGGAAAGUUUUUCGGCUGAGGAUGGGCCCGCGGCCUAUCAGCUAGUUGGUGGGGUAGUGGCCCACCAAGGCGACGACGGGUAGCCGGCCUGGGAGGGCGACCGGCCACACUGGGACUGAGACACGGCCCAGACUCCUACGGGAGGCAGCAGUGGGGAAUAUUGCGCAAUGGGCGAAAGCCUGACGCAGCGACGCCGCGUGAGGGACGAAGGCCUUCGGGUUGUAAACCUCUUUCAGCAGGGACGAAGCGAAAGUGACGGUACCUGCAGAAGAAGCACCGGCCAACUACGUG
rnacentral:rRNA from 1 species